AGUGCGCGCGUGUGCGCCGCGCGUCGCUGCAACUGCGCGCGCGCGUCAGUGUGUGUGACCGAAUCGAUGAGAUACGCGCUUGAUUGGGUCUCCCUUGUUGUAAUAAUGUACAUGAGGAGGAGGAGGAGGAGGAGGGGACGGGCUCAGGCUGCUCCCAUGCAUGCAGGCUGGCUGGAGCUGCACGGAUCAGCCGAGCUCGAGCGCCUUUCUGACAAACACUUUGUUUGGCCGCCAAUGGUACUUUUUUUUUUCCUUCGUUUUUCUUUUUCUUUUCUUCGCGUGGCCCGAUAGGAGCUAUUUAAAUCAGCCACGCGGCGAAUCAGACGUGUCUCCCCCUACACGCUCUCUUUCCCGUGACCAGAGAACCAGAGAGGCGCAAAAAAAACUCACCAAAGCGCAGUCCCUUUCUAUUUGGCACUGAAUGGAAUAAAGUCGUUUUUGCUUUUCUUCACAGGCAAAUCCUCGGGGUGAAGACAAAAGGGUGGACGGAUUCUUGAAGAAGGGAGUUGAAUGACGAGGGAGAGCGACGCAGGGUCGGUGUGGAGAUCUUGCAAGAUCAUUCGUUAUGAGCCAGUGCAUUUUUUACCUCAACCGGAACCAACAAUCUAACCGGGUAUGAGACAUAGUGCACACACACACACACACACACACACACACACACACACACACACACACACACACACACACACACACACUCACUUAGGUGCAAAGACUCAUUCUGUUAAACAGAGCGAACACAUCACUCUUCGCUAAGUAGAAGUUUCACUCGUCUCUCCCAUCUGUCCAUGUCGACCCUCACUACCUCACUCGCACAUCACCCAUCAGUUAGUCUCUCACAAACACACACACCUCUCCACAUCAGCCAUCAGUUUGUCCGACAGACACAUAAAUGUACAUCUUCGCAUUCACGCACCGACCAAGACCUUUACAUCACACGUCAAGAUCACCCAGGUUUCACUCACACACACCAUACGUCAGUUAUAUGUUUUAGGCUGAUGGAGAGAGGGGGUGUCAGCGGGCGGGAGGGCUUUGACAGGGGAGAGGAGGAAGUACACAGGAAGUACAUUAGUUAUCACUCCCAUGUCUUCUCCACCUUUUCGCUUCUCAUCACCACCCGACGUCUCAGACCCCAGAGCCGAGCCGCGUCUCCUUCUCGUCCCGCCUCUUUUCCUUGUCUCUUGCUCGUUCUCUCACACACGCCACACACAAGCAAAAUAUGACUGCCGCACUCCAUUUUAGUGUCGGGCCCUGGGAUCUAGAUGACACUUGGCAAGCCGUGGAAGCCGCAAGACAACUGGAUGAAAUAUUUAAAUGAAAGACGGCAGGGGUAGAAUAGGUGAAGAAAGGAGGGGGGGGGGGCGGAGCAAAAGGAAUAUAGGACAGAGGACGAGGGAAGGAGAGAGUGACGGUUUUCAGACGGCAGGCAGGAUGUGAAGGGUUUUCUUUUCUUGGCAAUGAGAGGGCCGUGUGACAAGAAGUGUGCAGAUGAAUUGGCUUUCACCUACAAAGAAGCCUAAAGAGAAAUAUACCGAUAUAGUAUGAGAUCACUUCACUUUGUCUCGGAAAUAAUUAGAAAGUCUCAGUGUUGUGUCAAUGUACUUUCAGCUCCGUGCCAGCUCAGCCUAUCACCAAUGUGAUCUCUCAGAAAUACAAGAAAUGACCACGACCUUCCAGCAGCAAAUUACAUGGUGGUGACACGCAAUGUGCUAAAUGUAGGUCCCGCCACCAGAGGAAACACAAAACUAGUUUGUUAGGUUUAGGGAAAGAAAAGAUCAUGGUUUGGGUCAAAGCCAUAAUAAAUCAUAAUUUAAAUGAAGUCGACGUUGGUUACGUAAGUUGACCUUUGGUUUUACACAGGACACUAACACCGGUGUCCUGGGUGAAAGUCGAUGUAUUGUUGAGUGAAGUCCAAACUGUUAGUACGUAUACGAUAAAGUUUCUAGAUAAAUAAUUGCAGAAUAUUUGAGUGAUCCGAUGCUCACUCUACAGCGCUCCUCACAAAGUAUGCCUGAUUAUAACUCAUCUACUUCUGCACACACACCGAAUGAUAACACUGACUACAUUCAGAGCUCAGACACUGACAGUGAUGAACAACAGAUGCACAUUUGUGAACAGAAAUAAAGUCCAAAAGAAAAUCAAGAAGAAGAACAGCAGACAAGAGGGACAGUGAGGAACAAAAUAGAACAUAGAGCAAAGACAGAAAGCAUCCGCAGAAAUGAGGAGAUAAGAUUAUUUUGUGACAUUUUUGCAUCUACUGUUAUUUAUUUAAUUAAAAUGUUCAGCUGUGUCUGUGUUUAACUCUCUCAUAUCAUAACUGUGACGAGAACCAAUUAUUCGGAACAGAGUCAAUGCCAAAAUUGUGAAAACUAUACAGUACCGCAUGUACUGAAGGUACAAACGACGUCCUGUUGUCCCAGGGUUGAUAGAGAAUUCCUCCGAUAAUGCUACAUUGUAAACAACAAAUCUGUGUUGAAAUCUGCAGGAGGAGAGCUAGUUGGCACUAGCAGUUAGCAGCCAGCGGGCAGCAAAGUCCUGCUGGGCUAAAUAUCGGAGCUAACGGCUAAUGUACAGAGGUUGCAUUGAGUUGCAUUAUGACGCGUUCAAGCUCUAUUUGGUAUAAACAAAGUUACAUUUUGACGUUAUCAUGAUAUGUUCAAAUAGAAAAUUUAGUUUUUUGGGCAAGAAACCUGAGGUGGAUAAUCAGGGAUUAAUAAUACAUUUGCAGAAACCAGUAUGAGAACGGUACUCAAGAAGUAUGUCGGAGUACACGGGACUUGUUUUUUACUUUGCUAUCGAAUUUAUUAUCGAGACUUUCACCUUAUAAUUCCAUUCACGUUUAAUUCCGUGAUGUGUUGUUUAUUCAUUUGCCCACACUUUCUGUAUAAGCGCUCUUUAACUAUUUUUGGUCGAGGGCGCAGAGCUGCAUGCUGGUCUUGUAAAUGCGUAUUUAAAAGUACCUGCAUGUGUGUGCUUGUCGCUGUUUGUGUGUAGGCCUUGGUGCAUAUCUGUCCAUACAUAAUGCACGUCUAUAAACAUGCACAUGGGUUUGUGUUUGUGCCACACUUCAUACCUCGUAAUGCUGCAUUACUGACUUGUAUGGUCCCCAUCUGCUAAGUCCUGCUUGCAGAGGACUCCACUCAUUACCAAGCUGGACAACAGGCCUGUCUGUAAAUGAAGUGGGGGAGUGUGUGUUAGCUUGUAAAGUCAAACUCAAAUGUGCAGAUAAAAAAAAGAAAAAAAGAAAGCAAUAGAAUUUGACUAUGUCUUGUAAAAUUAUUGGAAAGAAGGUCAAUAAAAAAAAGUGAAGAUUUGAUAUGCAGUGUGUUGUUUGUCUUUUACAUGCAGCACUGUACAUGGUACGUCAUUCCCCUUGUGUGCAGGGAGGUUGCAGUCAUUGUUUGCAGUAACUGCUCCCUUUUAUGGUGCAGUGAAAGCACCACGAGUCACGUAUUCAUGAAGAUGCUAAGUUUUUUUAGAGUAGCUUCAUGUCAUAUUGAAUAAACUGAAUGGCACACCACAAGUAAGCUGGAGGAAAACAAAGUUUACAUUCAUAUGAUUUCCAGUUAUCGCAGCAAAAAAAAAAGAGUAAGAGAGAGAGAGAAAAAUAAAUUAUGUUCUGCAUGUAGCAAUGAAAAUGCUAACGUACUGCUAUGCAGUAGUUCAGACUUAAGUAUUACUUCAAAUAAACAUUGUGUUUCCCAGUGCCGGACUCUGUGAGUAAAUGGAACGGGAGGGGGGAGCAGGAGGGGUUUUCUCCCGUGCUGAUUGGGUGCAGAUGUGAGCUCCAGUCUGGGUUUGGUUAGAGUCCCCGUGCCAGGAAUAUUCGCUACAAUUCAAUAAAUAGAGCUGUUAGGAGCAAAGGCAUUUCCUUGUCACCAUGUCAGGGUUCCAGAGCGGAUGUUUCACAUCGGGUGUAUCUGAUAAUUAUAGCACACACACACUAAGCUCAAUAAAAAACACUGUAACUCAAGAAUGCCGCUAUUGAGGAGCUGCAGGAGAAGAUUAAAUCAUGCAUUCCAACUUGAACGUAGAUUAACAGAGAUGUGUGUUCGAGUUCAACUAAUAUGAGUUUUUGUAAUGCUGAUCAGAGAAGAGAGCAGGAGUUUUGUUUUGAAACAAAAUUUUGAACUGAGCCAUGUUGGUUUUUAAAAAGCUGAGUUUUCAAAAUGAAACGGAUUACUAAUGUUGGGCCUACUACAUAUAUUGUUUUGAACACUAUUAAUAAUAGCAAAAAACAUUCCAGUAACACACAGAUUGAUACAUUAAUUUAAGGUUUAACCAACCUUUAUAUAUACAAAUAGUUUAAUGUAUAUGCAUAUAUAUGCAUCAUAAAAUAAUGUAUUAUUGUUUUAUGUGGAUGAAAUAAUUUUUAUCCAGAUAAAAGUAUUAUUAUUAAAAUAAUGUUUUGUCACCUCUUGCACACUGCAGUACAUGAAUAAUCAUAUUUACGACAUGUUUCAGGGGUUGCAUGCCUUUUAUUAUAUAACUGACAGUAUAUUGUGUUUCAUAUCACAUAUAUGUUGUCGUUUUUUUGCCAUCAUGAAACUAUACCAUACCCUGUCAUCAAGGAAAACAAAACUCUUAUUCCUAGCUAUGUUUAAUGUUCAUUGUGGUCCUCGUCAUUCAUAAGCAAUUGGUUGUAUAUUAAGCAAUGCAUGCAUUCAUAGUAAAAAUGAUGAAGAAUUCAUUUUUUUGCCACAUAUAACAACAUUUAAUAUGGAGUUGAGCUCAAAUAGCUUGUGUGUUUAAAGAAUGUGAAGUUUUUUUCCCCGUAAUCGCUGAAAAGAUUUGAACGUUACAUCUAUACAUAUCAUGUGUUUCUGUGACGGUAGCAGCUUCCCAAACCCCACAUCUGUACACGUGAGUUUAAAGUCAGGUUUAUUUGAAUCAGGUGCUGCAAAGGAAUAUUGUCUAAUCGCACUGUAGUUAAUUAUUCAAUUCAAAGAAAUGUUUAUUUCAAAUUUUCUUUCAUGGAAGCUUGCAAAUAAAAGUAUAAACCA